CCGAUCAAUGACUAUGAACUGGCUUCCUACAUCACCGCCGGCCUCGACAUGGAGUACCGGCCUCUCAUCUCCGCCAACGACGCCCGCACCGAGCCCAUCAACCUCGACGAUAUCUUUGCUCAGGUGAGCAGUUUUGAUC
rnacentral:snoRNA from 1 species